rnacentral:rRNA from 1 species
CCCCUAGAUGUUCUGGGCCGCACGCGCGCUACACUGAACAGUUCAACAAGUCUUAACCUUGGCCGAUAGGUCUGGGUAAUCUUUGAACGCUGUUCGUGAUUGGGAUAGACCUUUGCAAUUAUGGGUCUUCAACGAGGAAUUCCUAGUAAACGCAAGUCAUCAGCUUGCAUUAAUUACGUCCCUGCCCUUUGUACACACCGCCCGUCGCACCUACCGAUUGAAUGGUCCGGUGAAAUCUCGGGACGGCGGCUUGGUCGCUUGCGUCCGACUGCUGAAACUUGAUUAAACCAUAUCAUUUAGAGGAAGGUGAAGUCGUAACA